UUCAUUCUUAGAACGUUAUGAUAUAUAUCUCUCUGAAAUGGUCAACAUUGGCAAGCAGGCGGGAAUGAACACAAUUCGAUCUUCCUGCCUACCUAUGAUCAGAUAGAGGUUCGGAAUGUUGCAAGAUGGUAGUUAUAUUUUUCCUAUCAAACCUUCUCGAACCAACAUUUGGCUUUGGGGAUGAUCCAUGGUAUUCCAAUUCAACUCUUUAAGCACCAAACGGAACAAUAACAAGAAAAAAAAUCUCCAAAAAAAAGAAGAGAAGAGAAAAAAUCUUGAAUCUACAACGUCGAACCCUUGCCGGUUCGAAAUCUGAGACGGGUAUUGGCGUGGUGAGUCGAGGACGAAGAAAAGAAGAAAUGCACGAAAUAAAAAGAAA
rnacentral:sRNA from 1 species